AUUGAACGCUGGCGGCAUGCCUUACACAUGCAAGUCGAACGGUAACAGGUCUUCGGAUGCUGACGAGUGGCGAACGGGUGAGUAAUACAUCGGAACGUGCCCGAUCGUGGGGGAUAACUACUCGAAAGAGUAGCUAAUACCGCAUACGAUCUACGGAUGAAAGCGGGGGAUCUUCGGACCUCGUGCGGACGGAGCGGCCGAUGGCAGAUUAGGUAGUUGGUGGGAUAAAAGCUUACCAAGCCGACGAUCUGUAGCUGGUCUGAGAGGACGACCAGCCACACUGGGACUGAGACACGGCCCAGACUCCUACGGGAGGCAGCAGUGGGGAAUUUUGGACAAUGGGCGCAAGCCUGAUCCAGCCAUGCCGCGUGCGGGAAGAAGGCCUUCGGGUUGUAAACCGCUUUUGUCAGGGAAGAAAAGACUCCUGUUAAUACCGGGGGUUCAUGACGGUACCUGAAGAAUAAGCACCGGCUAACUACGUGCCAGCCGCCGCUGUAAAAC
rnacentral:rRNA from 1 species